ACCGCCCCCGGCUGCCCUCCUAGUCCCGCCCCGCCUGAGAGUCAAGGCUCAUUGGACAGUGGGCGAGAGAGCGGGGCUAUCAUUGGCCAAAUGCCCUGUCUAUCUCCUCUCCUCCGCAGGCCUCUGGGGGUUUGGUGGUGAACUGUGAGGGUGAGGGGAGUGUUCGCUCGCGGCUGCAUGAUCUCAGGAGGGGGCCGGAGUGCGGAGGCUAGGGACCGGGAAGGAGAAAUUAGGCGGGAUGACUCAUCCCUCGCCCUGCUUCCUUCAGACCUCCGGUGCAGUCGCCCAGGAGCAGGGGGGGGCGUGAGAAACCCCUUCCGCCGCGAGUGAGCCGGCGGAGGGGGCUGGUGCCUCUUGCCUACAGGCGUUUGGCUUCCAGCUCAGAUCCCGGCGCCGACCCACCAGGGGCAAGUGCUGCGCAGAGCGGAGGACACCCCUUUUUCCGCUGCUGGCAGCCUGAGUGGGCGCCUCUCCAGGCCAGGGUUUCCACAGGGCUUUUUGGCUUUAAGCCCGCUCCGAGAAGCCACAGAACCCCUCAUUCCGGGAGCCUGGUGGCGCAGCUGUGAGCCAGGGCAGGAGUCUCCUAGCUUCUUUCUCCCUCAAUCCCUAGUCUCCAUAAGGCGAGGUUUAACUAGGUACCCAGUGUUCUUGGGGGAACAUCAGCAUCAGUUUAGAUCUAUGCCCGCCUUCAUUUCUCGUUUUAAAUUCUGUCUCUGCUAGAGGCCGCCGUGCUUUGAUGUGAACGUGCCUCCAUCGCUUGUCACCCUCCCUGCUUCCCAAAGCCAUGGCUUCAUCUCGCUCAGCAUCUAGCUUGAGCUUUCACAAGACCAGCAGGAACGUUGGUUCAGUUGAGGCAGGAAUAGUUUGUCUAUUUCUGAGUGCCGAUGGUUUAGUAACUAGCUCUGUGAAUGAAUCACAGUGUGACAGAGGAGUCUGAAUGUUUGACUCCAAACAACAUUAUUCAAUGUCACAUGCCAUGAGCAUCUACCACUGCUUCCAGCACGGGGGUUUCUUUUUGUUCUGUAAGGUGAUGGUGAUAGUGACAUGAGUGGGAUGGAGUCGGGUGGGUGGGGUGGGGACAAGAGAGUGAUUCUAAUGUUAGUUCUUAAAUAUUAAGCAGCCUUCUCUUUCUUCUCCCCAAACAUUUCUGGAGAUAAUGGUUCCUGCCCCAUGCCUGCAGAACUGUUGUUUUGGUGAUUUAAAAGGCAAAAGAGAGAGCAAAAACAUGAGACGGAGAGAAAAGAAAAUCUUUGAAUCAAAUGACAUUCCCAGCUGGUGAUUAGUCCAUUCCAUGAAGCAUGAAGAUUGAUAACCCUGUAAUUUCAUCAGUCCUGGGGUAACUGCAGAUGUUCUAAUUUGUGUAAAGUGCUGAUUAUCUUCUGAAACUUACUAUUCACCCAAUGGUGUUCUUUAGCAGUUAUUUGAACAGCUUUUCUAUUUUUAAAAAUAUAUAAAUGUUUCCAAUGAAAAA